UACGGAGGGUGCAAGCGUUUGCUCGGAAUUAUUGGGCGUAAAGGGCAGGUAGGUGGUCUUAUUUGUCUGGGGUGAAAUCCUUGAGCUUAACUCAAGAAGUGCCCUAGAAACGGUAAGACUAGAGUCUUGGAGAGGGUCGUGGAAUUCCCGGUGUAGCGGUGAAAUGCGUAGAGAUCGGGAGGAACACCAGAGGCGAAAGCGGCGACCUGGACAAGUACUGACACUCAACUGCGAAAGCGUGGGGAGCAAACAGG
rnacentral:rRNA from 1 species